CUUAAACUGAUAAUUACUGACGAAAGGCAUACAGCAUAACAUGUCGACAUUCAUCAAGAAACCUAAUUUACAUCUUCCAAACUAUACAUGCCUGAAGUCAUUAAUGAUUAUUGUGUCGCUGUUCUUAAGAGAACAGUCGUGUCGUUUUGUGAUAUUUAUUAUUUGAACGGCUGUCUAAAAUAAGAUAAGGAAAAAAGAUGCUUAAUUCAAAAUACUUGCCUAUAUUUGCUUUAUAUAUUCUUUACAACCUCGUAAAUGUGAGCUCAGCACCAUUAGCAGAGACAAGAGGUUCUAUUGUACCUAUUCGGGUGGAGGAGAAAGAUGGCAAAUUGGAUCUUACUCUGGAUGUACGCCUAAAUGUAAAGGAGGAUAACUCUACCCCUUCUCCUGUGCCAAACUUAAAUGGCAUCAAUCUUAAACUUCUGUGUACCUAUGUGAAAAAUUUAUGUCAAAACCAGUAUGACAGCUGGGGAAAGAGAAGAUAAGAAUUCCUGCUAUUUGUUGCCUCGAAUGUUACUGUUGUUAUUAUGUAAUUGCCUUAAUACACCAUUAAAUAUGAAAACUCUGA